rnacentral:lncRNA from 1 species
GUUGUGACCGCUAAUGAGACCUCUCCUUUAUGCUAUCAUCGAGCACUGCCAUUGGCUGCGAGCGAGGACCCUGCCAUUGGUUGCAAGAAGAAUGAAGGGGUGGGCAUCCCCUAUUUUGAAAGAAGAGAUGAGAAGAAGAGAGGGUUUUCUUUCUCUCUCUUUCCUCCUUUUUUUCUUUCUUCAUUAGCUUAAUUAAUUAUUUAUUUAGUUCCCUCUCUCCCUCUCUCAUCUCUCAAU